GAUGAACGCUGGCGGCGUGCUUAACACAUGCAAGUCGAACGAAGCUGCCCAAAGGAAGUUUUCGGAUGGAAUUUAGGUAGACUUAGUGGCGGACGGGUGAGUAACGCGUGGAUAACCUGCCUUAUACAGGGGGAUAACGGAGAGAAAUUUCCGCUAACACCGCAUAAGACCACAGCACCGCAUGGUGCAGGGGUAAAAUAUUUAUAGGUAUAAGAUGGAUCCGCGUCCGAUUAGCUAGUUGGUGAGGUAAAGGCCCACCAAGGCGACGAUCGGUAGCCGGCCUGAGAGGGUGAACGGCCACAUUGGGACUGAGACACGGCCCAAACUCCUACGGGAGGCAGCAGUGGGGAAUAUUGGACAAUGGGGGAAACCCUGAUCCAGCGACGCCGCGUGAGUGAAGAAGUAUUUCGGUAUGUAAAGCUCUAUCAGCAGGGAAGAAAAUGACGGUACCUGACUAAGAAGCCCCGGCUAACUACGUGCCAGCAGCCGCGGUAAUACGUAGGGGGCAAGCGUUAUCCGGAUUUACUGGGUGUAAAGGGAGCGCAGACGGCAAUGCAAGUCUGAAGUGAAAGGCGUGGGCUCAACCCAUGAACUGCUUUGGAAACUGUAUAGCUUGAGUGUCGGAGGGGUAAGCGGAAUUCCUAGUGUAGCGGUGAAAUGCGUAGAUAUUAGGAGGAACACCGGAGGCGAAGGCGGCUUACUGGACGACAACUGGCGUUGAGGCUCGAAGGCGUGGGGAGCAAACAGG
rnacentral:rRNA from 1 species